rnacentral:rRNA from 1 species
CAGGAUGAACGCUGGCGGCGUGCCUAAUACAUGCAAGUCGAACGCACAGCGAAAGGUGCUUGCACCUUUCAAGUGAGUGGCGAACGGGUGAGUAACACGUGGAUAACCUACCUCAAGGUUGGGGAUAACAUUUGGAAACAGAUGCUAAUACCGAAUAAAACUUCGUAUCGCAUGAUACAAGGUUAAAAGGCGCUACGGCGUCACCUAGAGAUGGAUCCGCGGUGCAUUAGUUAGUUGGUGGGGUAAAGGCCUACCAAGACAAUGAUGCAUAGCCGAGUUGAGAGACUGAUCGGCCACAUUGGGACUGAGACACGGCCCAAACUCCUACGGGAGGCUGCAGUAGGGAAUCUUCCACAAUGGGCGAAAGCCUGAUGGAGCAACGCCGCGUGUGUGAUGAAGGCUUUCGGGUCGUAAAGCACUGUUGUAUGGGAAGAACAGCUAGAGUAGGGAAUGACUUUAGUUUGACGGUACCAUACCAGAAAGGGACGGCUAAAUACGUG